rnacentral:rRNA from 1 species
CCUACGGGAGGCAGCAGUGAGGAAUAUUGGUCAAUGGCCGGAAGGCUGAACCAGCCAUGCCGCGUGAAGGUCAGUGCCCUAUGGGCGUUAAACUUCUUUUGUGCGGGAGCAAUAAUGGUCACGUGUGGCCAGACGAGAGUACCUUACGAAUAAGCAUCGGCUAACUCCGGGCCAGCAGCCCGGGUAAUACGGGGGAUGCAAGCGUUUUCCGGAGUUAUUGGGUUUAAAGGGGGCGUAUGCUGUGAGGUAAGUUAGCGUUGAAAUGCCCCCGGUCAACGGGGUGAAGUGCCAUUGAUACUGGCUUGCUGGAAUGCGGAUGCCGUGGGGGGAAUGUGGGGUGUAGCGGUGAAAUGUAUAGAUAUCACACAGAACACCGAUUGCGAAGGCAUCUCACGAAUCCGCGAUUGACGCUGAUGCACGAAAGCGUGGGUAUCAAACAGGAUUAGAUACCCCUGGUAGUC